CAGCAGCCGCGGGAAUACGUAGGUCCCGAGCGUUGUCCGGAUUUAUUGGGCGUAAAGGGAGCGCAGGCGGUUUAGUAAGUCUAAAGUUAAAGGCAUUGGCUCAACCAAUGCAUGCUUUGGAAACUGUUAGACUUGAGUGCAGAAGGGGAGAGUGGAAUUCCAUGUGUAGCGGUGAAAUGCGUAGAUAUAUGGAGGAACACCGGUGGCGAAAGCGGCUCUCUGGUCUGUCACUGACGCUGAGGCUCGAAAGCGUGGGUAGCGAGCAGGAUUAGAUACCCGUGUAGUCCCUGUCUCUUAUACA
rnacentral:rRNA from 1 species